rnacentral:rRNA from 1 species
AGUGAACGCUGGCGGUAGGCCUAACACAUGCAAGUCGAACGGCAGCACAGUAAGAGCUUGCUCUUACGGGUGGCGAGUGGCGGACGGGUGAGGAAUACAUCGGAAUCUACUUUUUCGUGGGGGAUAACGUAGGGAAACUUACGCUAAUACCGCAUACGACCUACGGGUGAAAGCAGGGGAUCUUCGGACCUUGCGCGAUUGAAUGAGCCGAUGUCGGAUUAGCUAGUUGGCGGGGUAAAGGCCCACCAAGGCGACGAUCCGUAGCUGGUCUGAGAGGAUGAUCAGCCACACUGGAACUGAGACACGGUCCAGACUCCUACGGGAGGCAGCAGUGGGGAAUAUUGGACAAUGGGCGCAAGCCUGAUCCAGCCAUACCGCGUGGGUGAAGAAGGCCUUCGGGUUGUAAAGCCCUUUUGUUGGGAAAGAAAAGCAGCAGGUUAAUACCCCGCUGUUCUGACGGUACCCAGAGAAUAGGCACCGGCUAACUUCGUG